rnacentral:rRNA from 1 species
GUCCACGCCCUAAACGAUGAUCACUAGGUGUUGGGGAAGCGAUUCCCUAGUACCGCAGCUAACGCGUGAAGUGAUCCGCCUGGGGAGUACGGUCGCAAGAUUAAAACUCAAAGGAAUUGACGGGGACCCGCACAAGCGGUGGAUGAUGUGGAUUAAUUCGAUGCAACGCGAAAACCUUACCUACCCUUGACAUGUACGGAAGCCCGGUGAGAGCCGGGUGUGCCCGAAAGGGAGCCGUAACACAGGUGCUGCAUGGCUGUCGU